rnacentral:rRNA from 1 species
UGGGUAGUCCGUACGAGCGCACCUUGUCCCUAGUUGCCAGCACUUCGGGUGGGAACUCUAGGGAGACUGCCGGUGAUAAACCGGAGGAAGGUGGGGAUGACGUCAAGUCAUCAUGGCCCUUAUGGGGAGGGCUACACACGUGCUACAAUGGCCGGCACAGAGGGCUGCAAAGCCGCGAGGUGGAGCGAAUCUCAGAAAACCGGUCGUAGUCCGGAUUGCAGUCUGCAACUCGACUGCAUGAAGCCGGAAUCGCUAGUAAUCGCGGAUCAGAACGCCGCGGUGAAUACGUUCCCGGGCCUUGUACACACCGCCCGUCACACCAUGGGAGUGGGCUGUACCAGAAGUAGGUAGUCUAACCUUCGGGAGGACGCUUACCACGGUGUGGUUCAUGACUGGGGUGAAGUCGUAACAAGGUAGCCCUAGGGGAACCUGGGGCUGGAUCACCUCCUUU